AGAGUUUGAUCCUGGCUCAGGAUGAACGCUGGCGGCGUGCUUAACACAUGCAAGUCGAACGAUCCUUCGGGAUAGUGGCGGACGGGUGAGUAACGCGUGGGAAUCUGCCCUCAGGAGGGGGAUAACGGCUGGAAACGGCCGCUAAUACCCCAUAUGCCGAGAGGUGAAAUGAAUUUCGCCUGAGGAUGAGCCCGCGUCUGAUUAGCUAGUUGGUGGGGUAAAGGCCUACCAAGGCAACGAUCAGUAGCUGGUCUGAGAGGAUGAUCAGCCACACUGGGACUGAGACACGGCCCAGACUCCUACGGGAGGCAGCAGUGGGGAAUUUUCCGCAAUGGGCGAAAGCCUGACGGAGCAACGCCGCGUGAGGGAUGAAGGCCUCUGGGCUGUAAACCUCUUUUCUCAAGGAAGAAGACCUGACGGUACUUGAGGAAUAAGCCACGGCUAAUUCCGUGCCAGCAGCCGCGGUAAUACGGGAGUGGCAAGCGUUAUCCGGAAUUAUUGGGCGUAAAGCGUCCGCAGGCGGCCUUGUAAGUCUGUUGUUAAAGCGUGGAGCUCAACUCCAUUUAAGCAAUGGAAACUACAAGGCUGGAGUGUGGUAGGGGCAGAGGGAAUUCCCGGUGUAGCGGUGAAAUGCGUAGAUAUCGGGAAGAACACCAGUGGCGAAGGCGCUCUGCUGGGCCAUAACUGACGCUCAUGGACGAAAGCCAGGGGAGCGAAAGGGAUUAGAUACCCCUGUAGUCCUGGCCGUAAACGAUGAACACUAGGUGUCGGGGGAAUCGACCCCCUCGGUGUCGUAGCCAACGCGUUAAGUGUUCCGCCUGGGGAGUGCGCACGCAAGUGUGAAACUCAAAGGAAUUGACGGGGGCCCGCACAAGCGGUGGAGUAUGUGGUUUAAUUCGAUGCAACGCGAAGAACCUUACCAGGGUUUGACAUCCUGCGAACCCCUGAGAAAUCGGGGGGUGCCUUCGGGAGCGCAGAGACAGGUGGUGCAUGGCUGUCGUCAGCUCGUGUCGUGAGAUGUUGGGUUAAGUCCCGCAACGAGCGCAACCCACGUCUUUAGUUGCCAGCAUUCAGUUGGGCACUCUAGAGAGACCGCCGGUGAUAAACCGGAGGAAGGUGUGGAUGACGUCAAGUCAUCAUGCCCCUUACAUCCUGGGCUACACACGUACUACAAUGCUACGGACAAAGGGCAGCAAGCUCGCGAGAGUUAGCAAAUCCCAUAAACCGUGGCUCAGUUCAGAUCGUAGGCCGCAACUCGCCUACGUGAAGGAGGAAUCGCUAGUAAUCGCAGGUCAGCAUACUGCGGUGAAUACGUUCCCGGGCCUUGUACACACCGCCCGUCACACCAUGGAAGUUGGCCAUGCCCGAAGUCG
rnacentral:rRNA from 1 species